GGAAAGGUGUCCGAGAGGCCGAUGGAGCACGGUUGGAAACCGUGUGUUGCGCAAGCAACCGGGGGUUCGAAUCCCCCCCUUUCCG
rnacentral:tRNA from 2 species